AGAUGAAUUCACUUUUCAGGAGGACAAUAACCUGAAACACAAGGCCAAAUCUACACUGGAGUUGCUUCACAAGAAGACAGUGUGGAGAGCUCGCGGAGAUAUACCCAGAAAGACACACAGCUGUAAUCGCUACCAAAGGUGUCACCCAUCUUCCCCACUUAUCCCCUGGGUAUUUAUACCUGUCUCUGUCUGUCCCAGUUCGUCUUGUUUGUUCAAGUCAAUCAGCGGUUUCUCUCAGCGCCUGCUUUUCCCCUGUCUCUCUUUUUCUCACCCUCCUGGUUUUGACCCUUGCCUUUCCUGAGCCUGCCUGCUGUCCUGUGCCUUUGCCUUUGCCCCUCCUCUGCAUUACAGACCUCUGCCUGACCUGACC
rnacentral:lncRNA from 1 species